UUUACUUUAGCUGGGCUAACCGUUAGCUGUUAGCCCUGUUAGCCGUUAGCGGUGUCUGUAAUAGGUAAUAACUCAUUAAACGGUCCGUGAAAAAAAUAUCUUAUCCAGCGAAUAUCUUAGUUACAACAUGAUUGAGCUAGCAAAGCAGUUUUGUGUUGCUGUGUGUGGUAUUUAUUCAGUUUUGGGAAAUCACGAUGUCUAGAAAGCACCAGUGGCUGCAGCUGACAGGGACAGCUAACAGCAGCUGCAAAGCUAACAUCAGGACGUGAUCUGUUAAAAGCCUCCCAUUGUCGGAUACGACAUGAAACUACUCCAGUUAGCUCAAUCAUGUUGUAACUUAGGCUGACCAAACGUCCUCUUUUGCCCGGACACGUCCACUUUUCACGUCCCGUCCGGGGCAUCCGGGGUUUUUUUUAUAAACUUAUGAUAAUGUCCGGUUUUCCGGUGUUUGUGUGUGUUAGAGUGCGGCACGGGCAGCAUAUUUCUGUCCGAACCCGAACUGAGCCCGACAUUAUUUAAUGACCAAAGCACUGAGUUUGUGUCACACAGUUGUUACGAUUACAGGCUAUUUAACAGGCCGGGCGUGCGCCAUGGGUGCUCAGCUGCGGAGAGGGAGACCUCCAGCGGGAGGCAGGAAGUCCGACGCUUCUAGCAAGAGGAGAGGGAGAAAUAAAACAAAAUAAGAUAAAAUAGGAAAAACCUGUCUCCCUCUUUUAUUUUAUUUUCAGCGUUUAAUCGAGGCGGGCUGCUGGAGGUCCGACACAUCCAGCGAGGAGAGAGGUAGAAACAAACAGCCAAUGUGUGUCUGUGUGUGUUAUGUUCAGGUGUUGUCACGUAAAUAACAGUGCCCAAGCAAUAAACAGGACAGACAAUAGGAUUUUAUUUAUUUUUACACUACAUUUUCACUGAAAGCUGACCGAAUCCGACCCGAGCCCGAAUACAAUUUAUAGCUACAUUUUUGACCAAACCCGGCCCAACCCGUCGGGUACCGUCGGGCUCGGAUCGCCACACUCUAGUGUGUAUGGGUCCCCUAUUGGGGCCUAUCUGAAUUUCUGUCUUUGAGAGAUAUUAUUUUUUAAUAUAACUGAAUUUUCUAUCCAUACAUAUAAAUUUUAAAUAUAUUAAAAUUAUAAGGCAUCUUUGAGUAAACUGCGAGUAUCAUUUAAGUUGGCUAUGUCGUGGCCGGCCGAGUGUCCUCUUUUUUGGAAAUCAAAAUAUGGUCACCCUAUUGUAACUAAGACAUCCGCUGGAAAAAAUAUUUUCUUCACGGAUGAGCACACGUUUGAUAAAACGGAGUUUAAUCUCUCGGCAUCCAUUUUCAAGGUGUGUGUUUGUUUCCUUGCGGACGAGAAAAGGGGGAGCGCGACAUUUCCGAGAAGGCGUGUCCUUUUCAAAAAUGCAAGAGGUGUUGCUUUGUUGCCGGCCGUUUUCGCCGGUGUGUUAAACACACUUUAGAAAGGAGUGUCCCCAGACUAUCAGAAGACGGAGAUCUCUGAUUGUCUGGUGGCGAGACUAGGCAUUAACUACUUUUCCACUCUUUACUUUAGGAGCAGAAGCAGUCUGGAAUCACGCUUAAGUGUUUUAUGUGACAUAUUAGAAGCACUUUUUUCAUUUUCCAACCAAUUAUCAAUAAUUGGGCAUUUAAUAUCUGGAAAUCCUUUCCUGUGUUUCCACAUCUACCUAGUCUGUUAUGAGGUUAUAGGCUAUCACUUACAUUUCACAUUUCUGAUGAAUGUAACUUUUUGCUUCCCCUAAAACAGAACAUUUGUGCAGGUAAUAAGUAUCACUGUUUGAUUUCAUAUCAUAAGAAUUACUUCAUUCAUGGUUUUUUUUAAUAAAUAUAUAGAUAUAGAUAUAUAGAUAUACAUUCAUUCAUUCGUAGAUCAGUGCAGACUAAUUUACUGACUUUUCUGCUUUAACCAGAUGACACGCUAUUUUCUGUCCUGAUUUUGGUUGGAGAGUGUUUUAGUGAAAAUAUUUGCGUUUUAUAUUCUUUACUUGUAUUAAUUGCUGUUGAUCGCCCGCACUGUAGUUAUAAGUGCACCCUAACUAAUUUCAGAUGCACAAUAAGUCAUUUUGUUCUGAAACCAGGUCUGAGAUCACCCCUUGCUUAUACGAUAUCAAACAUGUCGUUUUCAAUUCAACUCAGCUCAAACAGAUCAAUAUAAUUCAAAUAAACACAAUAAGUUUGUGCUCUAGAGAAAGGAUCAGCACUCAGUGAAUAACCUUCUAAGCCCUAUGAUAAGCUAUUAUGGCAAGGCUUAACUAUACAGACCAGUGAGCAGUGAUAACUAAUGUCUUUGGGGUCAUCAGGUGGGAACCUCCUUUCACCCGUGUUUCAUCUAGUUGUUCCCACGACACCUCCGGGAGGCUAGACGUUGAUCUCUGGCAUCCCAGAGACACUCCCCUAAUGCCAGGUCUCACUGCUCCCCGCACCAACCCAAUAACCUCCUUUACCUUACUUACAUAUGGCUUUCUCAGCCCAAACAGCACUGCCACCUUCAACAAACCCAGGCUCUGUUUAUGCAAACUCCAGGUAGAGACAGUGCAGAUACUACCUUUCCUAGUGCAUUCACCAUAGUCUAUUUCACACGCUACAUAGCAUAACUCCAAUAUAAGCUAAAGUUAAAGGAGAUAGAGAGGAUAAACUCACAGGCUUUCUCAGCCCAAACAACACUGCCACCUUCAACAAACCCAGGCUCCGUUUAUGCAAGCUCCAGGUAGUGACAGUGCUGAUACUACCCUUCCUAGUACAUUCACCAUAGUCUGUUUCACACACUACAUAUCAUAACUCCAAUAUAAGCUAAAGUUAAAGGAGAUAGAGAAGAUAAACUCACAGGCUCAGCAAACACUCUUACCUUGCAGCAUGGUCUCAAACAAAAGGGAUUCAAAUAGGCCACUCCCACACUUAAAUAACCUUCCUCUUCCUGGAUUUUCAGAUUCAGAAUACUUUAUUUUUUUUUUCUCCUGAGAGGACUGAUUGGUGGAUCUCUCCACCUGAUCUCAAGGAGUUAUGUACCCUGCUUAGUAGUUCCCCCUGCUGGCCCCCAACUGACAUUAUUCUUCUUCACCCAAAUCCACUGACUAGCUCUAGCUGCUUCAUCUGACAUUUCCUUCACUGUCUUCCUCAAACUCUGUCCCCACACUCCGAGUUCCCCCAGGAGCGAGACAGCUGAUCUGGCCAUGAAUCCCCUACACCCCACUUCCACUUGACAAAUUCUAGUUUUCCAUCCUCGCUGCUCAGCUUCUGCUCCUAAGUCUGCAUACCUAAUCUUUAUAUAUAUAUAUAUAUAUAUAUAUAUAUAGAUAUAUAUAUAUAUAUAUGAUAGUUAAGGUAUGUGACAAUAAUAAUCAUAUGUAAUAGUAGUAGGCAUCAGGCAGGACCAUGUCAGCAGUGCAACCACAACCCGUGAUCCAGGUUAGCCGCAAUUUGAGGGAACCUACAAGACAGUAGAACACAGAGGCCCAGGAGAGAAAAAGAAGCCAAGUUAGUGUUAUGCAGAGUAGGACAUGAAGGUUAGCAAAUGAAGAGAGAUAGCGAAGAAGAGAAGGGGCUCAGUGUAUCACAGGAGGUCCCCCAGCAGACUAGGCCUACAUUACCCUAAGUAGUGGGUGGUCUGAGGCAAGCCUGAGCCAGCCCUAACUAUAAGCUUUCUCAAAGAGGAAGGUCUCAAGUCUACUUUUCAAUGUGGAGAUGGUGUCUGCCUCCUGGACCUAAACAGGAGGAUGGUUCCACAGAAGAGGAAUCUGACAGCUAAAGGUCUGGCUUCUUUUUUUUUUUUCUUUUUUUUUUUUACUUUUGGAGACCUUAGGAACCACAAGUAACUCUGCAUUGUCAGAGCGCAGUGUUCUGGUAAGAUAAUAGUGUAUUACACUGAUCAAAAAAAAAAUUAAGAGAACACUUUAUCGUCACAGUAUAACACCAAGUCAGUUAAACUUCAAGGAUAUCAAUCUGUCCAUUUAGGAAGUGCAAGUGAUUGUGAAUCAGUUUCACCUGCUUUGGUGCAAAUGAAAGUGACAACAGGUGCAAUGGAGAGGCAAACGCAAGACCACCCCCAAAAAGGGAAUGGUUUUGCAUGUGGUGGCCACAGACAAUUGCUGUCUUGUUAUCCUUCCUGACUGAUUCUACUCUAGUUUUUAAAGUGAAAGAUGGCUGAAUUCCAUUUUGCUGCUUCAAGUUCAGGGUCCUAGUAUUGCAUGCUUACUCAUUUUCACACUGUCACGGCUCAGGGAUAUUUGCAUUGAACAAAGCCAUUGUUAAAGGGAUAUUUUGGACUUUUUGAGGUGGGUUUGUAUGAAGUACAUGUCCAUAUUCAGUGUACUACCUACAGAAGAUGGCAGUCGGCACGCCCCCAGUUUGGAGAGGCAGCCAGGCACACCGCUACAAAAGCUCGCCAAUGUCCUGCUGUGGACUAGCCUGGAAAUCCAGACCCAAAUCUUGAAAGAUUUAGGGUCUGGCUAUGAGUAAUGCAAAUGGCCCAACUCGAGGGGUGGCACCAAGCAUGCAUUUGGAAAUAUUACUGCACGCAAUUGGAUAAAAUUACGUCCAAUCAGAAUAAUACACGGGGUGACGUAUCCAGAGCGCUACCAGCGGAGCUAACUGGUAGAUUAGACUCUUGCCGUAUCCGGUCGGCAAAACAGCAAAAACGUCCUUCUUGCAAAGGAAAGAUUCAAGCGCCGUCUUCUGUUCCUCUUUUAGAGAAAAAGCUAAGUCUAACCUCUUUUAAAGAAAAAGCUAAGUCUAACUCGUUCAUUGUAGCGGCCAAAGCCGUUUCAAACAACUGGUGUUCAUCCGUAGCCAUCUUGCAAUGUUUACUGACUGAUUCCGGACUUCGUCGUUGCAGCGCUGUCGUCAUCUGUUUAGCUCGCCUCUGGCCCGCCUAUAUCAGAUACACCGAUGUGAUUGGUGCAGCUCGGCUCCAAGGGCAUGGGUAAUGAGCAUCAUUACUGAUUGCCAGAGUGACUCACUGAGCAAAUUCAAACUGUGCUCUAGCAAGAACUCUGGAUUUCCAGGGUAGCUGUGGACAGGGGCAACAGCAAAAUGUUAUUUAGCCAAAAAAAAAAGCCUACCUAAAAAUAUCAAUAUCGGUUUAAGGGUACACUAUAUUUAGAAUAUCAUCAGACAGCCCCUUUGGACAGGUAACUGAAGCCCCUUUAUCCAUCUAUGCUGUCUUCAAAGCAAGGCUGUAGCCAUGGAGUCAACAUUGGGGGGGACCAAAUCUGCACACACCUCCACCCCCCCAAACACACACACCCUUACUUCCUGCCAUUGAAAUUCUAAAAUAAAAUAUGUACAAAUUCACUAAUACAUGAGAUACGUUCUUUUUUUUGAAUGUCUAAGUGCCUUAGACUAGGGAUUAAGGAUUAAUAAAGUACAACUUCACCCAUAAUCAUAUUGAAGUGUUUUGAUCCAUAGGAAGGUCUGUGCCACGCAAUUUCAGUAGAAACAGAUUUGAUUUAUUGCCCUUUCAUUAGGGAUGUCCCGAUCCAGCUUUUUCCACUUCCGAUCCAAUACCGAUAUUACAGCCUUGAGUUUUGGCCGAUACAGAUACCGAUCCGAUCCAAGCACGUAUUAUACAUAUUCACUUAUUUUGUUGUCAGUCAUGUUAGAAAAGGUUUGAUCAAGCGAUAUUACUCUAACAAGAACAACUACUUAAUCGGGUUAGUUAGAAUGAUCCACAACAGUUGAUAUGAGAAGCUGACCCGUUUAUUGUUAACAGGGUUAAAUAAACAAACUUUAAACUUGAACAUUAACAUUAAAUAAAAAAUAUAGCUGGUUUGCUUUGGCUGCUUCGGCCCCUUAAUAAAUAGAAAAUAAAUCAACACAAGAAAUCUUUAAAAUGUCUAAUAUUGAAAUUAAAAUAGCAGCAAGACUCCACACACUUGUGCUUUGGCCCCCUAAUAAAUAAAAAAUAGAUUAACACCACAAGACAUUGUUGACAUUUAAGAAACAAUGCAGCCUUUCCUUUUCAGUUAUUUUAGUAGUGUCAGUGCAAGCCUGGUGCUGCUCUUUCCUGGGACCAACGGAGAGGACAAAAAAACCACACACAAUAUUGUACAACUGUUUAAACAAGCAAUAGUCCAUCCAUGGCUCCAGUUUCACUAAUUGUCCCCAAAACAAUGCCAUCAGUGCUCUUUACUUAAACAGUAAGAGUGUAAACCAAAUAAAAAUAUUACUCUCAAAAAACCAGAGCAGAAAACAAAUAGUCAGUUAACUAAAUUGACCGCUACUCUUCCUACCCUCCAUGUGUGUCUGCCGUCUGCAUGCUGGCCUGGUGGAUUGAUAGUAAGAGCUGGAGCUGAUCACUGGAAUGGACUGCUUGAAUCGUGGAGCGCUGGGCUGGUCGGAAAAACUGGAUCGGAGUUCUUGGAUCAGCAUUUUUCCAUGCAGUCCAAUCCGAUGCCGAUGCACGUUUUUUGCUAAUAUCGGCAGCCGGAUCGGGACAUCCCUACCUUUCAUUUUACACUCACGACUCACACUAGUUGCUUGCCGCUCAAUUGAAGUCAUCUCCUCUUCUCUGACCACUUGUCACUUUACAUUUUUUCACUCAUUAUUCUGAACACACCAAAGUGAACAUGGACGAAAUAUUAUCAAAUAACAAAUGGUGUCUCUUGCUCAGAUAGCCUACAAACCAUUUCUGAUCUGAAUGUCAAUAAUCCUUAUAUCAAGAAAUAAAUCAUGACUCAUUUUUUGUACUAAUGCUACCGUACCGUAUAACUAACGUUACUUCUAUAAUCCGACUGAUAGGGUAACACUACUCAUUUUUCUCACUGUGCUUAACUUACUUUGCUUCUUUUCUGAGACUUGCCAAAAAAAAGCCGAAUGUCUCUGCCACCCUUCCUCUUGCUCAUGACGACUCACUGUGAAAUUACACAUGCAGCGCUAACUUUAUCAGAGACACUUCCAAGUUCAAACUUGAUGCAGGCUUGUUGUUAGCUAGCUAGUUAGCUAGCUAGCCAGCUAGCUAUUAUAACGUGGUUACAUUCGGUGCAACAUUGCAAAACAAUAACCAUUCAUGACAUCAAAAUUUACUGUAACACUUUACAAAAUCACAAUAAACAGUUAAAAUAUAGCCUACGUAACACUCAUAUUAUCUCGUUUUCCACUUUUAUUUAGUAAUUAAUAGAGAGACAAAUUUACAUUGCCUGCCUGGAACGUUACCCAUACAGCAGUCUGGCAACAACGUUAAUGGCAACCAGCCUUGGCAUUCUGCUAUGGCAACUCCACUUGGACAAACCACACGCAGAACCGAUAGUAAUAAUAAUGGGGAUUUGUUAUGUUUAGUUAUAUUUAUGAUGAUUCCAUUAUUUUGGAUGGUGGUAUGUGGUUGCCUAUCGUAGAAUAGCAAUGAAGAAAAAAAACAAACGUUUUCUUUGUUGUUGUUUUUCAGUUUCAGUUAUAUACUGGGGGGACAUUUUGGGCAUAUCUGAACAUUGGGGGGGACAUCCAUGAAACCAGAAUUUCUUGCCUUGAAAUGGCUCAUGACUGAAAAAUUUUGUGAUUACUUGAUAGGUAAUAAGUGUGUAGUCUGGACAGGCAACAACCCCUUAAGCCAUCUUGAUACUGCUAAGCUGGGGGCAACAGAGCAACGUUGGGCUGAGGCUCUGGCUGAUUUUGACUUCACUCUUAAAUAUCACUCAGGUCCUUAAUACUAAUAAUAUUAAUGCUGAUGCUCUGUCCAGACAACCAGCCUCAGCUGAGACAGCCUCAGUUAGCCAGUUUCUGCCUGGAACUCCCAUCCCCGCAAGAAUGCAGACGGAAAUAGGUAAACAACCUAAGCAAGUGUCCUUGCUAGUGUGGCAGAUUGAGUUUCUCCCCCUCCCUCCUCCUCUCCUUUCUUCCAUUUCACUCAACGGGCAGCAGACUGCAUUCAAUCAGCCAUCAGCGCUGUUUGCAGGGCGGUGCCACCCACCUUUAUAUCUAGGUGAGGCAAUACUGCUCUGGUUCUUCUUCCUAACCUCCAGAGUCUGGCGUCUGUGCAGUCUGGUGUGGCUGGUCUGCCUUCCGAGGCUUUUUGGUGUGUCAGUCCUGCUGUGAGCAUAAGGUAGGCUCUCAUAAUAUUCCUGGUGUCGCACACUUACUGCGUGCGUAAUUGGUGUUUUACCUGCCGGUUUCCUUGCUCUGCAGUGUGGCUGUCUCUCCCUCCCUUGGCUUCUUGAGCGCAGACCGGAGUUACGGUUUACUGCUUCGAGCUUGUUACGCCACUCGGUGUUGAGUUGGCAGAGUGCGCAGCGGCCAUGCGUCCUCCCCUCCUCUCCGCUCUGCUGUUGGAAACCGCCCUCUGCCCGGUGGCCCUUAAAGGCCAGGCUGUGCGCUAGGGUGUAGUGCCUCCUGUUUUUCACAAGCCAUCAGCCUCCACCACCUGGCACGGGCUGCUGUUCUGUCUCCAAUGACUUUUGGAUUUGGGGUUUGUGCAGAGUGUGUCUACUCCGAGUCAUUUAUAACUGAAUUGUUCUGAUUGUACCAGAAUUUUCAGAACUUCCCGUUUUACAAUAUUACCUGGUGUAUUUUUAUUCUCAUCUCAUUGACAAGGGGACUAUAUUUGGUAGCCACGUUCUAGUGGCCCUGUGCUGUUUUGUUUAUUUGAUUUAAUUUACAGUAAGCAGUAUUAUUUGUUUUCUUUUGAUUCUUUAUUUCUUUCUCCUGUUUUGUUUUGAGGUUUGUUUUCUGGGGGUUGGUUGACUUAAAAGCUACACACAUGCAUGUCUUCCAACUCCUGGGUAAUUUAUAUUAGACUCUAUGUUUACUGAUUCAGUUAGACAAUUGUUAUUAGCCUACUUUCUUUUGUAAUAUCUGUUAUCAUUGUUUGGUUUCUGGGGUAUAUUGUUUGGGUAAAUUGGGGUGUGUGUGUGUCUUGUGUGAGACCGUUGACUUGAACUAACUGUGUGUUUCUCAGUUAGGAGAAAGGGGUGCGAGCCGGUGGCAGGCAGACCUCUUGGUGGUGGUGUCCCUCACUCACUCACCCCUUUUUGCCAUGCUUUGGUUUUGUUUGGUUUAUUUUGUCUUCACGUGUGGUGUGUUGUGUUCUUUUUUUUUGGACCCGUCCCUGCUCCUUUGUUGGUCUGUCCUCUGCAGUAAGCCCCCGGCCUAGCUUCUUAGGCCCUCCAACACACACAGUAAAUUUCUGGUCAUUGCUCUUUUAGUAUUGAGAACGUGUCAUUUUAAAAAGAUAUUGUUAAAAAUAAAGUUUUGUAGCUUUUGGUACCUGUCUCUGCCAGUGUUUAGUUGAACCUGUGUGCCUUAUUCUUGUGUCCCUUGUAGGGGUUAAGUUCAAUAAUUUCCAGGGGGUUAAACUCCCCCAGGUGGCGUUGUCGACAAUCUUCGUUAUAUUACCUCGCCUAAAUUCCGCCACACUAGCCAUCUCCGCCCUUCCUUCCACUUCCAACAGCAAAUUGACAAACCUCCAUAAGAACGACUCAACAAUUCGCAACCUUCUGGUGUUCUGGAGGCGCCAAAAAGGCCCUAGUGCUUUUGAGCGUAGACAACUUAGCCCAGCUGUAUAAGGGCUGCUCAAACAGUA